UACAGAGGUCUCAACCGUUGUUCGGAUUCAUUGGGCGUAAAGGGUGCGUAGGCGGUCGCGCAAGUCGGAUGUGAAAUCUUGGGGCUCAACCCCCGAAACUGCAUUCGAUACUGCGUGGCUCGAGUACUGGAGAGGAGACUGGAAUUUACGGUGUAGCAGUGAAAUGCGUAGAUAUCGAGAGGAACACCGGUGGCGAAAGGCGGCCUUCUGGACAGUGACUGACGCUGAGACGCGAAAGCGUGGGGAGCAAACAGG
rnacentral:rRNA from 1 species